CUACUAUUGGAAUAUAUUUUGAUAGAAAAAGGAAGCACAAAAAUAAAUAGGAUAGAAAAGGAUUCAAAAAAGAACAGGAAUAGGGAGGGAAAACUAUUUAAAAAAGAAAAUGGAAGGCUUCUAAAACUCUAAAAAUCUAGAUCCUAUGGAACGGAGAUGAAGGUAAAUACCUAACGAAAGGGAAGGGCUUGAGGAAGCUUUUGAAAGGUUUUCUGCUUCUCUCUUCUUUGGCUCUGAUGACUUUAAGGGA
rnacentral:lncRNA from 1 species